rnacentral:rRNA from 1 species
GAUGAACGCUGGCGGCGUGCUUAACACAUGCAAGUCGAACGAAGCAUUUAGAACGGAUUACUUCGGUUUGAAGUUCUUUAUGACUGAGUGGCGGACGGGUGAGUAACGCGUGGGUAACCUGCUUUGUACUGGGGGAUAGCAGCUGGAAAGGGCGGGUAAUACCGCCUAAGCGCACAAUGUUGCAGGACAUGGUGUGAAAAACUCCGGUGGUAUAAGAUGGGCCCGCGUCUGAUUAGCUAGUUGGUGAGAUAACAGCCCACCAAGGCGACGAUUAGUAGCCGACCUGAGAGGGUGACCGGCCACAUUGGGACUGAGACACGGCCCAGACUCCUACGGGAGGCAGCAGUGGGGAAUAUUGCACAAUGGAGGAAACUCUGAUGCAGCGACGCCGCGUGAGUGAAGAAGUAAUUCGUUAUGUAAAGCUCUAUCAGCAGGGAAGAUAGUGACGGUACCUGACUAAGAAGCUCCGGCUAAAUACGUGCCAGCAGCCGCCGUAA